rnacentral:rRNA from 1 species
AGAGUUUGAUCCUGGCUCAGAUUGAACGCUGGCGGCAGGCCUAACACAUGCAAGUCGAGCGGUAACAGAAAGUAGCUUGCUUCUUUGCUGACGGGCGGCGGACGGGUGAGUAAUGCUUGGGAACAUGCCUUGAGGUGGGGGACAACAGUUGGAAACGACUGCUAAUACCGCAUAAUGUCUACGGACCAAAGGGGGCUUCGGCUCUCGCCUUUAGAUUGGCCCAAGUUGGAUUAGCUAGUUGGUGAGGUAAUGGCUCACCAAGGCGACGAUCCCUAGCUGGUUUGAGAGGAUGAUCAGCCACACUGGGACUGAGACACGGCCCAGACUCCUACGGGAGGCAGCAGUGGGGAAUAUUGCACAAUGGGCGCAAGCCUGAUGCAGCCAUGCCGCGUGUGUGAAGAAGGCCUUCGGGUUGUAAAGCACUUUCAGUCAGGAGGGUAGGUUAGUAGUUAAUACCUGCUAGCUGUGACGUUACUGACAGAAGAAGCACCGGCUAACUCCGUGCCAGCAGCCGCGGUAAUACGGAGGGUGCGAGCGUUAAUCGGAAUUACUGGGCGUAACGCGUACGCAGGCGGUUUGUUAAGCGAGAUGUGAAAGCCCCGGGCUCAACCUGGGAACUGCAUUUCGAACUGGCAAACUAGAGUGUGAUAGAGGGUGGUAGAUUUUCAGGUGUAGCGGUGAAAUGCGUAGAGAUCUGAAGGAAUACCGAUGGCGAAGGCAGCCACCUGGGUCAACACUGACGCUCAUGUACGCAAGCGUGGGGAGCAAACGGGAUUAGAUACCCCGGUAGUCCACGCCGUAAACGAUGUCUACUAGAAGCUCGGAGCCUCGGUUCUGUUUUUCAAAGCUAACGCAUUAAGUAGACCGCCUGGGGAGUACGGCCGCAAGGUUAAAACUCAAAUGAAUUGACGGGGGCCCGCACAAGCGGUGGAGCAUGUGGUUUUAUUCGAUGCAACGCGAAGACCCUUACCUACACUUGACAUACAGAGAACUUACCAGAGAUGGUUUGGUGCCUUCGGGAACUCUGAUACAGGUGCUGCAUGGCUG